CGGCCAUGUGCGCGCCCAUCCCCCACCCCGAAGUGUACCCUAGCCUCCCGCUCACCUACCCCAACCCGGCGGCGGCCGCGGCGUGCGCGGCACAGAGGGGGCGCUCCGGUCACAGCCUCCGCUGGCCCGGCCGGCGGUGUGAAGCCUCGGGAGGCGCCCUGCGCUCUCACUGUGCCCUGAGUUUCUAAGCCGCUCUGGGGCAGGCGCGGGGACUGGGUUGGUCCUCGCGAAGGCGCGGGGCGAGGUCUUUGAGCUCUCCUCCCUCUGAGGGUCCCUGGCGCCGGGCGGGACGCGGAUCAGCAGGCUGCGCAUCUUCCUCGCCCGGGCCUCUCGCGGGACUCAGGCACCCUCCUCCUGCCACCCCGCAGGGGCUCUCCAGCUUUUCUUCCGCGCCCAGUCGCCCUAAGAGACAGAGGCCGUGGGGGCAGGACGCGCCCAGAAAACGGCCAGGCGCGGUCCCAGUGGGCGUCUUCGCCGCCUCCCGGGUGAGGGCGGGAGGCAUGUGCAAAGCAGGUAAAAUAGGGAAAUGAAAAAAGCACUCAGAAAAAAAAAUCCUUUUAGGAAAAAAAAAAACGAGGUGAAUGGCGGCCUCCAAGUGAGAGAGAACGUUGCGCACUGCAUUUGGCUAGGACCCCCAAGAUUUGCUGGGCUCGCAGAUAACCUCGUAGGAGCUCCCUCGACUGGCUGAGGCCAGUGAAGGCAGAACAGCUGAGUUCGGGCCGCGGUGCGGGAGCGCAAAAUACCCCGUCCCUCCUCCCCUCCCGCCUCCCCACCCAUCCCUUUCCUCCCUGGAGUCCGCAGCACCUCACUCUACCUCCCAGGAGACCAAACUCCAUGCCGCCUCUCCAGUCCUCUGAGUCUGCACCCGGGUCUGCUCUCCCAACGCGUGGCUGGCGCCCCAACCCCGGCCCUCCUGUCUGCUCCUCCCGCGCCUCAGUUCCCCAGCCCCAGCUUCUAGACAACUGCAGCGGGGGUGUGGGAGGUGGAUCGGGAAAUGGAACAUCCCGCAGGUGAGGUCAGGCUAGAUGGAUUAAGGAAACUCUGUAAAGGGACCACCCUACACACCACCGCAGCCGGCAGGGAGAAGGAAGGGGCCUUGCCGUAGAGGAGCAAGUGAGGAGGCGUUGUCCCGCCGUCCGGCCGCCUGGAGCAGUUUUUAAAUUCAUAAGCGCUUCUGUAACGUCAGUGGGACACAGCGCAGCCCCAUGCCAAAGUCUCAGCGCAUUUUCGGGUGAAUUUUGAGCGAGGUGAAGGAGGCCUUGGGUUCCCGGAGUCGCUGGAGGACGCGCGUCGGGCCCCGCCCAGUUAUUUCGCUGCAAGAGGGAAAAGGCACGAGCGUGGACACGGCUAAGUAGACUCGGAGGCCGGAGAUCGGUCCUAACCGGGCCUCGAAGUUCCUACCGCGGACGAACUUUGCUCUUCGCGGCCGUCCCGCGUCGCACCCGGGGAAAAGCAACACAACUUGCUGCGCGGGCUGAGAGCCCGAAGCCCGCCGCACGCCGCAAUGCUCCGCGCUCCCCGCGGGGUCGGGCGACUCAGACAGGGACCGGAAAAGAACCACGCAGAAGAAAGCCCUAUUUCUUGUCGUCUGUUCCUGUGCAGCCUUGCAGCCUCGCCGCCCCCGCGUCGCUCGCUCUCGCGACCCUGUGAACACUUUGAAAAACAAGAGUCGGGGGAAGCAACGGGCUAAGCGCUGCUAUUUGGGGCACUAAAAGGAAGCCGGCCAGAGGUGGCGGGUUCAUGCGUCCCCCGAGACCCAGGCCGCGUCGGGGGCCAAGAGCCCUUACAGCCUUCUCCCGCGCCGUCGGGAGGUCCUCCCGGAACUGGGCCGGAGCGCAGAGAACGCAGUGUGAGAAGGGCCCAUGGGUUUUAGGUCACCUCCUUCGCGCUGGACGCGGGCAGAGCGGUGUCCCUUUCUGUCUCUGCCAAGAGACGUGGAGGGAGGGAGAAGGGAGGAUGGCUUGUGCUGAAAGAAACAAGAAUGAAGUCGGGCAGCCGGGAUCUGAGAAAUGGGAAAUCCAUGGCCCUUGUUCGGGACCACAGGCUUUGCCGACGUGGUCUCUCCUAGUUCCGAAAUUGCCCAGGCCCGCCUCCCCACCCUCUGCAAGCAGCGGGAACGACUUCCACAUCGCUUAAUUUCUUUAUUAAACUUUUCACCUAUUCUCUUCUAAAGGACAGACUACAGCGUCAGAUGGUAAAAAUGUUUUCCGCGCCUUGUCUUGCCGUACGGAAACCGCCGGCCUGGGAGGACAAGCCGAGUUCUUGUUUUGCCGAGAGCAAAACUCUAGGCUCCCACUUCCUUCUCCCAGUCCGUGCGUUUCCUUGCAGAGCCCCAGAGCGUCUGAUUCACUGAAAUAGCAUCACUUGCUGAACCAAACCUUUUUUCCCGCUCGCGGAAAGAGUGGAGCUUUUUUCUUUUGUCUAAGGGUGUUUGCUUUUUUUUUUUUCUUUCACUCGGCACCACAGUUUUUCUAAAUCA
rnacentral:lncRNA from 1 species